rnacentral:lncRNA from 1 species
GCAACGUUGCACCCACAGUUUGCAGGAGACCUGCCUCCAUCUCCUUUCUCCCAGAGAGAAGCAGUCAUAUUUCCUGCAGUGGGUUAUUUAGCACUUACUGCUGGGACCCCCCUAGGCCCUGAGAUGAGGACCUGGGGACCAGGGACCCCAGGAGGCCCAGUGAGGGAAGGGUGUGAGACAUCUGGGGAGGAAAGCCAGUGGAAGGGUGACGGCCAUGGGCAGCUGGGCUCAGGCUCCUGGGGGCCGUGGGGAACGUGCCUCGGAACUUCCCUCUGAGGGCUGAGGGAGCCGGGAUCGCCCAUCGACUCCCAUUCCUCAGUAGCUGAUGUCCGCCCCUGGGCCGUGAGCCCCUGCCAGGUCCGGCAGCUCCGGCAGCAGGUGAAUGUCCUCCCGCGGGACACGGGAAGCCAGGGGUAGAGACGAAACCGUCUGAGGUGACCUCUGGGGUACGGCAGCAUCUCUCAUUCCCUCCUGCCCUGCGUGGAGUCCAUCCCGUCCUGUCGCUGAUUCUUCAAGUGACAAUUUCUGGGAGGGCUGGUGGCACACAUGCCAGUUCCCACCACCACCACCGUGGCCUUGGCGCCACGGCCGACUCUCAUUCUAGAGCCCGUCACCCCGUGCUCCUGCUGGUCUGGGUCACUUGCUGGCUGGGCUGUCUGAUGUCAUGGCUGAGGCUUCCACCCCAGGGACCUUCCCCCGGCCAGACGGUGGUUGCUGCAGUGACCUGUUUACUGUUUGCUUUGGGCAAAGCACCAAGGGUAGUGGAAAAGGUGGAUAAAACGAAUGAGAAGAUGGAGGCUUUGACCCGGCAAUGGAGCCCUCGGGAAAGGAUGGACAGGCCGCAUCGGAAUCGCAGAUUCGCUGGAGUGCACUUCGCAUAAAAGCCCCUGGAUACAGCUGAGGAAAGACUCAGGGACCAAUGCUGAGAUUGACUGAGAGAAAUGAUCCAAAUGGAAGCACAGAGAAGGAGAAAGAGAGAUAAACCAGCUAAACCAGCCUGGAGCUGGAAACGUGUGGGGUGAGGCCCACAGGCCGCAGGGGCCUGCGGGGUGCAGAGGGAGUGAAGAGAUGUCAGAGAGGGGCCUACUGCCCCCACAGGGCCCCCUUGUUCCCCCCGAGUGGGUUCCCCAGUUUCCCACCCCCACUGCCUUCCCAUUUCUUGGUUAACAUUUUCUUUCUUUUUUUUUUUAGACAGAGGCUCACUAGUGGCACGAUCUUGGCUGAUUGCAUCUUCCACCUCCUGGGUUCAAGAGAUUCUUGUGCCUUAGCUUCCUGAGUAGCUAAGAUUACAGAUCACAAGCAAUCAGGCUGAUCCCGCCUGAGCCCUGAGCUCCCUGGGACCCAGCAGCAGCUGUGCAUUGGCACGUGGUGCCCUGUGUCUGAUCAGCUGACUCCUCAGGCAAAACCUGCACCAUUUUCACCAGAAUUGCAGAUGUCCUCAGUGUCAUUACAAAGUUCCUAAGUCAUGACCAUUCUGUCCUGUGGAACCAGGCUGGACUAAGCUCCCAUUUCUUUAAGCCAUCCUGUCCCCUGCAGGGACUUCCAAGGUGGAGCUGAUGAGCAAUAGUUAUGAGUCAUUGGAGGAGACAUCCCAGAGGCGCCAGCUCCCCUCUGCCCUAAACUGAAAUUAAGACCUGGUGCUCUGGGUGGGGCCCCUGGAAGGGGAUGUGCAACUCAGAGGGGACCUUCUCCACCUCCACCCAGGAGACCCCAGAGGGACCAUGGCAGAGCCGGAGCCCUCUUUUUUUUUGUUCGUUUUUUAUUUUAUUAUUAUUAUACUUUAAGUUUUAGCCCUCUUUUAAAAACCAAAUGAAAAUAAGCAAAAGAAGCCAAUCGUCUCUGUGAAAUGUCCAGAAGAGGGAACUCUGUAGAGACAGAGAGGAUAUUAUUGGCUGCCGGAGGCUGGGAAUGGGAAGGUGAGGGGCCUGGGGAGGUGAUGGUUAAAAGAUUCUUCUUUGUGGUGAUGAAAUUGUCUUAAAAUGGACUGUGGUGAUAGUUGUGCAACUUGGUGAAUAUAUAAGUUAUUGAAUUGUACACUUUAAAUGGGUGAAUUGUAUGGUGUGUGAAACAUAUCUCAAUAAAGCUGUUAUUUGAAAAAUAAAUAAGUAAAUA